AGUCAAGUCAUCAGUUCCAGUCCUACCUAGAGACGAGAGAACGUUGAAUACUAUUCCAUGAGUUUGCUAGAUUGUCAAGAACGGGUUGUCGAGAGAUCAUCCUAAUAAGUGCUUACCAACAACCGUAACCUACCCGUCAGCACAGGCCAUUCUCCAGUAACCUUUAUUAAUUACUUAACAGGUUUGCAGCAUGUCACCCAAAGAUAUUGUACUCCUGUGUCUCCUGGUUGCUUUCGCUUCGAUCACAAGUGCUCGAAGUCUUGGGAACAAUGACAAUACUAUCGAUGAAACACUAUUGAUUGACGAUAUUGUUUUCGAAACUUUAUUGGAUGACGAUACCAUCGACGAGAAUCUAUUGACUGACGAUACCAUCGACGAACCUUUAUGGGAUGACGAUACCAUCGACGAGAAUCUAUUGACUGACGAUACUAACGACGAAAUUCUAUUGGAUGACGACACCCUCGACGAAACUUUAUUGGAUGAUGACUCUAGAUCUGCUAUUAGAAAGGUUUUCAAAAGAUCUGGAACUCGACAUUACCGAAAGGUCUGCCAAAGAACCAAUUGUACUAGUGAUUGCGAUCUCUGCAUUAAUAUUAGUUGAGAACUUAUCGUUUUGACACCUCCAAAUUAAUCAUUGUAAUUGGAAAUUCAAGUUAGAUUCGUAAUAAAACGCAUUAGAGAGAGAGAGAGAAAAAUAACUGUUUGUUUUAUGAUAACGUAAUAUAUAGUAUAUCUUUGCUUGACUAAAUGUGUUAUGAAUUCGUAUUGAUUGAUUGAUAACGAAUUUAUUCAUUCCAAAAUUUUAACAAAGUUACAAAGUAAAGCAAAAUAUAAUAUAAUAUUUUGAAAUGAAAUAGGAACCUUCUGGAAAGCUAAGCUUGUUAUCGAAGGUAUAAGUAUUUAAAUAAACAUAAACAUCAUUUAUAAGUUUACGCACCCAAUUACUGUUUCAAAACCCAUUAAACUAUAUUAAAAUAAAAGGCGAUGCAUAUUAUCAGGGGAUAUGAUGUUUUUUUUUAUAUACUAUCUGUUUAACAAGAUGGCUCUGGGCGCUACGUCGAUAAGUCUUUGACAUUUGUCGCUACCCAACAUUCUUUAUUAUUAUUUUUUCUUUAUUUUUCGGGGUUUUAUUUUGUCCUACGCUUUGUUUUCUGAUGUUUUUGUGAUUUUCUUCUGUGAUGAUGUCUUUGACAUCUUUUAUGUACGAAUGUGGAAAACUUAUGACCUUAUGAACUUUUUGCUAAUUAGGCAUAUAUCUGGCAGAAUGUAAUAACAGUCCGAAACACUAGAGUAAGUCGAUUGUGAUUUCAAAGUUGCAGAGCGUAGAGAGUUUACUCAAACAAGGCAUUUUGAUGUAAAUUAUUGAUUUUAUGACACGAUGUAAUCGGUCUAUAAUUACAAGAAGAAGGCAAAAGUUAUUAAUUCAACCAAACCCAUUAUUUUUUUAAACUGAUAUAAUCUGACUGAUAAAAGUGUAUGAAUAUGAUUGAAAAUAUAACUCUGAUUCUAGGGAUGGUAACUUCUGAACUUCCCUUGCCCAAUUUGGGAAAAUGUAUAUAUACACACACA
rnacentral:lncRNA from 1 species